GUACACACCGCCNGUCGCUACUACCGAUUGAAUGGCUCAGUGAGGCUUCCGGACCGUUCGGUACAGAUCGGCAACGAUCAGUGCUGGAUGGGAAGUUAUCCAAACUCGGUCAUUUAGAGGAAGUAAAAGUCGUAACAAGGUCUCCGUUGGUGAACCAGCGGAGGGAUCAUU
rnacentral:rRNA from 1 species